GCGUCAAAGCAUACUUCCAAAACAAAUCUAAAACAAACGAACCACCUCCUGACCUCUAACAGAGCAAUUCUAUUUCACAAUAGAAGACCUAAUGCUAAAACUAGUAAUAAGAGCCCGCUCUCCUUUCACACCCCUCAAUCAGAAAUAGAUAAACUACUGAACAUUAACAAGCUUUAAAAAAGAAAACGAUUUUUUCCAAGAGAAAAUCUACACAAUUUGUGACCCCGACACAGGAGUGAUUUAAGGACAGAUUAAAAGCCCAACAAGGAACUCAGCUAAUAGAUUCCAACUGUUUACCAAAAACAUAGCCUUUAGCCCAACAAGUAUUAAAGGUCCCGCCUGCCCAGUGACUAUUUUAACGGCCGCGGUAUCCUAACCGUGCAAAGGUAGCGUAAUCAUUUGUCUCCUAAAUAGAGACUUGUAUGAACGGCUAACUGAGAAUCUAACUGUCUCCUAAGGCCAAUCAAUGAAACUGAUCUUUCAGUACAAAAGCUGAAAUAAACACAUAAGACGAGAAGACCCUGUGGAGCUUAAAAUACACACUAUUUCUCCUCCCCACAAACCACGGAAACAACAUACGAAACAUAGUGCCUCUUUUUAGUUGGGGCGACUUCGGAAUAAAAAAAAACUUCCACGAAAGGGCCAUCCCUAUCAAGGCAAACCCGCCAAAAUAAUUUUCUUUUGACCCAGACACCUGAUCAAC
rnacentral:rRNA from 1 species